GGUUAAAUGGCUGAUUAAAGGCGAUAGAUUGUAAAUUUAUUUAUAAGAUUAAUUCUUUUUAACUA
rnacentral:tRNA from 1 species